GUAGCAUGUCGAGCUGCAGCUCCCACAACCAUCGCGAAUCUUACCCGUACGGUUGCCUCGGCGCUGGCGGUCCGGAAGGCCUUCGGGCCCCCGGACCCUCGGGUCUCCCGCUCGCGGGAGGCUGCCCGCCGGAGUGCCGAAACCAAACUCUUGAUAUUUUAUGUCUCUCUGAGUAAACUUUUAAAUAAGUCAAAACUUUCAACAACGGAUCUCUUGGUUCUGGCAUCGAUGAAGAACGCAGCGAAAUGCGAUAAGUAAUGUGAAUUGCAGAAUUCAGUGAAUCAUCGAAUCUUUGAACGCACAUUGCGCUCGCCAGUAUUCUGGCGAGCAUGCCUGUUCGAGCGUCAUUUCAACCAUCAAGCUCUGCUUGCGUUGGGGAUCCGCGGCUGCCCGCGGUCCCUCAAAAACAGUGGCGGGCUCGCUAGUCACACCGAGCGUAGUAACUUUACAUCGCUAUGGUCGUGCGGCGGGUUCUUGCCGUAAAACCCCCAAUUUCUAAGGUUGACCUCGGAUCAGGUAGGAAUACCCGCUGAACUUAAGCAUAUCAAAAGCCGGGAAGGAAA
rnacentral:rRNA from 1 species